rnacentral:rRNA from 1 species
UACGUAGGGGGGCAAGCGUUGUCCGGAAUUAUUGGGCGUAAAGAGCGUGUAGGCGGCCAGAUAAGUCCGCUGUGAAAUCUCGAGGCUCAACUUCGAGCUGUCGGUGGAAACUGUCUGGCUAGAGUCCGGAAGAGGAGAAUGGAAUUCCUGGUGUAGCGGUGAAAUGCGCAGAUAUCAGGAAGAACACCCGUGGCGAAGGCGGUUCUCUGGGACGGUACUGACGCUGGAGACGCGAAAGCGUGGGGAGCGAACAGG